AAACCGCUUAGGGGUUAAGCCCGAUGAACCCGAAUAUCCGAUGUGAGAAAUUCAAUACAGUAUUAAUUGUACGUAAUUGAAUAAUUUCUAUUGUAUGCACUUUUCUCAUAGUAGGACAUUGUAAUCCAUUAAUGUUAUAUUCCCUAAUAAGGAAUGAUUUAACAUACGGACAAGAUGCUUUAGCUUAUUCUAUCUGUGUCAUGAAUACAUGUCAUAUGAAUAAAUGCAUUUUGUACCUGUUUAAAUAGUUGAUGGAUUAGAUGACGAUCAUGCUUGCAUUAGUUGCGUUUCGUGUCAUUGGUUUUUAAUUGAUGGCAGCAGAAAUGGCAUGUAUCUGAUUAACAAUGCGAUAGAUUUGGGAUGCCCUCGGGACCCGUCUUGAAACACGGACCAAGGAGUCUAACAUAUGUGCAAGUCACUGGGUAUUUUGUUGAAACCUAUUGGCGUAAUUAAAAUGACUAUAUUUUAACUUGGGAUCACAAGUGGUGUUCAAUUAUGCGCUACUUUUUAAUCCCGGGGCGUUCUAUACGAACAUGAUGCAAGCGAUUGUGUCCUCUGUUCAAGAGCGUACCUUGAGCACAUAUGCUGU
rnacentral:rRNA from 1 species